AUUGAACGCUGGCGGCAGGCCUAACACAUGCAAGUCGAGCGGAUGAAGGGAGCUUGCUCCUUGAUUCAGCGGCGGACGGGUGAGUAAUGCCUAGGAAUCUGCCUGGUAGCGGGGGAUAACGUCCGGAAACGGGCGCUAAUACCGCAUACGUCCUGAGGGAGAAAGUGGGGGAUCUUCGGACCUCACGCUAUCAGAUGAGCCUAGGUCGGAUUAGCUAGUUGGUGGGGUAAAGGCCUACCAAGGCGACGAUCCGUAACUGGUCUGAGAGGAUGAUCAGUCACACUGGAACUGAGACACGGUCCAGACUCCUACGGGAGGCAGCAGUGGGGAAUAUUGGACAAUGGGCGAAAGCCUGAUCCAGCCAUGCCGCGUGUGUGAAGAAGGUCUUCGGAUUGUAAAGCACUUUAAGUUGGGAGGAAGGGCAGUAAGUUAAUACCUUGCUGUUUUGACGUUACCAACAGAAUAAGCACCGGCUAACUUCGUG
rnacentral:rRNA from 1 species